CCAGCAGCCUGCACACAACCUGGGCAUCAGGGAGGUCCCAGGCAUCAUCACACACGGUGCCCCAUGCACCACGGUGAUACAGCUCUACUCGACCCUCACAGCGGUUCGGACCACCUGAUAGUCUCAUCGCACCUACAGAGAGAGGGACAGGCUUUACCUUUGCAGGUGACAGCCACAUCCUCAUAAUGGUAGCAGUUGUGGAUGCCCCAGCCUUGAUUGCCACACUGGCUCAGCUCCGUCUCUUCCCCACUGCAGUCAACAUUAUCGAGCAGGAUGGGCCCGGAGCCCUGUCCAAAGCGGGAGCUUGUGCCCACUGCAACAGCUGGACCACACUCCAGCUGUCGGCACACCACGUUGGCAUCCACCAUGUCCCAGUCAUCAUCACACACCGUGCCCCAUGUACCAUUGUAUUGAACCUCAAUACGGCCCUCACACCGGCUCCUGCCGUUCACCAGCCGUACUGAAGGACAAGGAGGACAAGGAGAAUGAAAUGAUACGUUUACAGUACCUUUUGGGGAGACAUACUCUGGAGAAGAGAACAACAAUGAUACUAAAGACCUAGAUGACUAAAGGUUUAAGCUUUUUAUAAGAUCUGAGGAAGGGCAUUGAGGAUAUUGCCACCCUUCGGGAAUCUCCACCUUCAGCCUGCUUCAGGUGGGAUUAAUACUAGAAGCACACAGCUUUCUUUCUGCCUUUCUCCGUCCCUUCUCAGUUCUGUUUUGAUGGUUGACAUAGGAUUGCUUCACAGCUCACACACACACACACACACACAUCUUGUGUAUUUACCGAGUGGUAGACGCAUGUUAAAGGCCAGCAGGAGCAGUGAGGCCAGUAGUGAGAUGAGACAUGUGGAGGCUUUCCAGUGCCUGCACACACUAUUGAGCACACCCUGGUCUCGCAUGGCAGUCUGGGGAAGGAGCCACCAGGAUACCUGUAUACACACACACACACACACACGUAUAUAUGCACACACAAUUUAUCUUUUCAUAUAUUUCACUCCCUUUCAUAGAGUCACAGUCAGAUUCAAGCGUACAGUGUCUGGAAUAUUACUGCUCUGAUUAGACAGCGAUUAUGUCCGUAGUACUUUGCGACUUCCAGUAAAUAGAUUUUCGUAUAAACAGUAACACUUUGAUACACAAUGCUGUUUUAACAAAGCAGUAUUGUGAAUCUACAAACACACGCAAAACUCUACACAGUUAGUAACCCGAGCUCCGGAUCGAACCGGGGACCCUAGAACUGUGAGGUGGCAAUACUAUAUACUAUAUAUAUUUAUGCAAACUGGAAACCAAUUGGCAUGACAGAGAGAGGCUGAGGGUGGUUACUUUGUACUGAAUAACUAAAUCAACAAUAAAAUAAUGGAAAUAAAAGAAUUAAUACUAAGAGCACAUGCUCUGUUAGACCAUUUCAACAGAAAAAAAAAUCGGGAAAAGACUGAGAUUGUUUUUGUUUGAAUAGAUCCUUCAUACAUUUUUAAGAAGUACAUCAAGGGUUAAUUCAAACCUAAGUGCUUAACCGCAUGUUGUACAUAUACAUAUACCUGAUUAAGAGCAGUGGUGGUUUUAACUGGCUCUUGAAUUAUCUGUUAGUUUUCAACCUGAAUAUUCAUCACCUUCAACCUGAAAAUUCACUCAGGGAAAACUGUAUGUACACAUGUUUAUUGUGUAUUUGCCCAAAAUACUGCAAAUUCUGCUAUAAAACAUACAUUUCUGGAAGCAACUUGACGCUGAUAUCAUUUAACCUUGCUGUUACCCAACUCAUACUGUAUACGUCUAUCAGCCAUGCUAAAGAUCAAUCCAUGUGACUUUUUUUUUUCUUUUGUUUUUCCCAAAUCCCUCCUGACCUUCCAAUGGAAUGUGAGCGAGCGGCAGGCUGGUGCACAGGAUCCCAGGACGAGCAGAGAAUUUGAUAUUGGGCCCAAGCAGAUAGUGGACAUUCCGGGGCCGAGGGCACAAAAAGCUGUUUCUGCUGCCUGUUUCUGGGACCUAAGGACUACUUCCUGCGAAUCUUUCACUGGGGCUCUCCAGAAUGCUUAGGCAGCUGAUGACACCAGCCGGGCGCCUCUCGUCUCCCUCUGUCCAGUGACGGAGAUAGCUGGUAACUCACGGGACAGUUUUCCACCUGUUGGAGUUACACAUAGGAACCUCAUGCAAGAGAAGGAGGGGGGAAAAAACAGCGUCCGGCUGCAGAGAUACAGGGUCUUUCAUCUCCGUGGCUAUAAGUAUUUGGCUACAGUUUAUAUAAGGCCUGAAAAAGGCAUCACUAUUAUUUACUAAUGCAUGCCUGGACCCCCGGUCUCUACCACUGUCAGCACAAAGAAUGAAGAAGAGCAAAAAAGGGAGAAAAAGAAGAAAGAGGGACAACUGAAAGCCAGCCCUUCACUGGUACCUAAGCAUCUCUUGUUUCAUGCUCGGCUCUCAGAAACUGCUGGUCUAUUUAUGUGUACGAUGAUAAUGGCUAAUGUGUGUGUGCAAAUGUGUGAAUACAUGGUAAGAAAAAACUAGAGGGAUGUCGAACUUUGUGUCAUUUGAUAUGGUAUUGUUGGUGCGGCUUGGUCUACUGUAUAUACGCAUGUAGUUUUUAUAUACCCGGUGCUUACGGCACAUAGACUCAGAAAACUGAUACUAAAUUGUACCAUUUUCACUAGGUUUGAACCCAUAAAGGCUUAUCCUUUGUAGCUUGUAUGGAGCUUUCACCUGGAAAAGUCAAUGCAGUGUUAUUUAAAACUUAUUUAUGGACCAGCAGUAGUCUUACGAUAUAACUACGUACAAUAAAUAUGUUUUAAAUAAGUUAUAAAGAUGAAUCAUGAAUCUUUCCCAGGUGAACAUCAAUGGUACAAUUUAGUACACUUUUGUCUGAUACUAUUAAAGCAAGAAAGCUCAUGCAAACUUGGCAAUAUACAAAGGAGCUUGCGAUUUUACAGAUUUUUAGCAGAUUUGAGCCAAGACGCAUCGUGUGACGUCAUCAUAACACACAUUCAGCCAAAAAUCCUCUUCGAUUUAUGUGUGUAGAACUUGACUGCAGCUCUCAUAGAAUGUCAUUAUGUAUAUAUAUGUCCUUACUGCAGUUUAAAGGAAGAAUCCUCUGCUUGCAUUUUCACCAAUUCAAGCAGUUUUCAGCAGAAAAAGCACAAAACGUUGCAAAUUUCUUCAGCAAAAUCAAGCAUUUUUGGACACAACCAACACCAAAAACUGUGCAAUUCUGGAGGGACUAGCACCCUAUACUUAUAAACAUUGUCCACUGUUACAUCAGUCAACUGUUGUGUAUCAUACAAAAUAGUAUUUACUCAUGUUCAAGAAUCUUUAUUUUUAUUUCUCCAUUAUAUUUCUCUCCUAACAAGAAAAUUUCUCUGUGUUAGCUCUGAUAUUCAUUUUAUGUUAACCUGACAUUCACACUCUGACUAAUACCUGUGAAAACAUGGGGUCAGCUUAAUGACUGGCAUCAAAACACAAAAGGUUUUUGUAAAUAAUUAAAAUGAUUUAGGAAUCAUUUACUACAGACUAGUUUUAGUGAAACAGAGGUUUGGUGUAUAAUAAUCUCUUGGUCAAUUCAGUACACUUUGCUCUUAUAGUUUUAGUUCCU